CCUAGUCCAGAGCGGAAGGGUGUCACUGGGAUUGGAAACAGAUGCACGCUUCUGGAGGACGCCGAACAAAGAUAUUUCUUUAUUACAGCGUUUUAUGUUCGUUGUAUUUGUUGCCGACUAAUUUAGCCGACACUUAUUAACUAUUACACUAUUUAAAAUGAACUUGCUGCGUUGAACGCAAUUAGAUGAAUGGUGAUAGAGUCAGACCACGAGAUAAUCUGUUUGACAAACCUUGCUGCACAGGCUCACUGCAGGUUUCAGAAUCUUAUUUGCUGACCAGAUUUUGACAUCUCUCUGGCAUGAGGUUUACAGUGGCACUGCGUGCUAUUGUUUUGGUUCUUCUGCUGGGCUUUACCUGGCUUCUAGCGAAUUCUAUGCUAGGAAGGGAUGGGAACUCCUUUAUGCGGCUGCUAUUUAGUGGUGGACAAGAAGAGCCCACUCCAGAACCACGACCACGCAAGUACAAGUGUGGCCUGUCAGCAUCGUGUCCCCCA